GCUGCCACGAUCCACUGAGAUUCAGCCCUUGUCGCUUUGAUUCGU
rnacentral:rRNA from 2 species